rnacentral:rRNA from 1 species
GUCUCAGUUCGGACUGUAGGCUGCAACUCGCCUACACGAAGUUGGAAUUGCUAGUAAUCGUGGAUCAGCAUGCCACGGUGAAUACGUUCCCGGGUCUUGUACACACCGCCCGUCACACCAUGGGAGCUGGUAACACCCGAAGUCAGUAGUCUAACCGCAAGGAGGACGCUGCCGAAGGUGGGAUUAGCGACUGGGGUGAAGUCGUAACAAGGUAGC